rnacentral:rRNA from 1 species
UACGAAGGGUGCAAGCGUUACUCGGAAUUACUGGGCGUAAAGCGUGCGUAGGUGGUUCGUUAAGUCCGAUGUGAAAGCCCUGGGCUCAACCUGGGAAUGGCAUUGGAUACUGGUGGGCUAGAGUGCGGUAGAGGGCAGUGGAAUUCCCGGUGUAGCAGUGAAAUGCGUAGAGAUCGGGAGGAACAUCUGUGGCGAAGGCGACUGCCUGGACCAGUACUGACACUGAGGCACGAAAGCGUGGGGAGCAAACAGG